AGGUAAGAGUGGCCCCUCUCAAUAUUAUACAGAAUAACUCAUUUCACUAAUGAAUUUUACUACACUUCAGACUUCUCUCUAAAAAACAGCAUAAUAUGACUACUUCAAGCAUAAAAGUCAUCACUAAUAUUUGAAUUUAUAUUACACUUAAAAUUAGUUUAAUGGUUUAUACAUUUAAUAUAUAAAAUAUUUCAAAACAUAUAGCUUAUGAGAAAAUGUUUUAAAAUGUGCUGCAAGUUACUUGGUUUCAGAGUACUGCAUUCCCAUCCUGUGAAAAUGUGGUUCAAUAAAACCUAGAUAUGCUGUAUUAGGACCAAAGAACUUUAUAUUUAUUUUAAAUAUCAAAGUAACACAAAGAACUAGUUCAAUAUACAGUACACUUCCUACUCUUCACAGAGAACUGAAAUUUUCUAUAAAGACAUUUAUACUUAGGAAACAUCAGACAACCAAAGUAUGUAUAAAACUCACAAGAUAUUUUACACACAGUUCACAAUAAUUAAUUCUGAUAUUUUAGAUUUUUCUGUCAUUGCUUUUAAAGUAUCCUUAAUUAAAAACAAAAAUUAUUAUUUGAGACUGAAAACAAGUGCAAAAGCAUUUCUACUUUAAUAUACACUGUAAAUCCCCAUAAUCAAAACAUUUACUACACAAUGUGGAACAGCUAAAUGCCCAGUUUUGUAUUAUUUUCUGGCAGCCACACUCAUCAAUUGUAAUACAGUUUUAUCAAUAGGGAUAAGAAGAGUUCAAUCGUUAGAAGGAAUAAAAAUUUUGUAAUUACAUCACAGUACAUUGUCCAGCUUUAAUGCAAGCAGGAAUACCAAGCAAAAAAAUACGCAGUAACAAUGAGAUGUGUACAUCCUCUUCAUUCAAUACAUCUUUUAGAAUCUCCAACAGCAAUGCAAGCAUUGAUUACUUUUCUUUACCUAAGAAUUUGACCAAACAAGGUUAUAUUCUUUGUAUAACCUCUGUGCUCUAAAUAUAAUCCUUAAUUUCUCCUCUGAAUAUAAUCCUUAAUUUCUCUUUAUGUAAUUGGCUGCAUAGGCUAAAUUUAAAUUGUUUUAGGAUUUUUCUCAAGAUCAUAGAUUUAUGAUCAUACACAGCAAGUUGAAACAUGAGUAAACAAAACAUAAGCACUCUCUCUACAAAAACCUUCUUUUUCUCAUCUUCCACACAUCUUAAUCCUAUUACAUCUAUCUUAUUAAUGCUACUUCCAAAGAGAAAGAGCAGAAAGCAUGCUAAGAUUAUAGGGAAAAGGUAUCUUAAGUAAAAACAAUUUUAGAGGAAAUAAGGAGGGGAUUCCCUCUACCCUCAAAACAAACAAACAAACAAAAAACCCCACAUUAGAGAAAUGUGGAAAAGGGUAGGAUAUAAGGAAGAACUGUCUAGUUUCUAGAAGUCGUUUAGAAAAUUAUUCUCACAUUAUCCAUUAUUCACUCUAACAGCAAGUAGCAUUUACUAUAACACUACUUAAAGUUUUAGAAAUGCUACUUGUAGAAUACAUUUCUAGGCAUUUUAAAUUUGGCACUGAAUCUUAGAAUAUCCAAAUACAACCUUCUUUAAAGUCCUAAUUUUUCCUGAGUUGAUCAACUCAUUAUAUAUUGGUUGGGAUGUUGCUGCUCCUAAUGAGAAACUCAUCUCAAACCAUCACCUCUUGUUCAGUUUUAGGCAAACUGAAAUAAGGUCAUUCAGUGCAGGGCUGUGUAGUUAUGGUUACUGGUUAUUUAAAAGACAGAGAAACAGAGACACAGAUGCAGACACACUACUCAUUUUAUUUUACUUGUCAGAUUCCUCUAAUAAGCAUAUAGAGACAGGCCCAAGAGUGGCUUCACAGUAACUAUAAAGGCCACAACAGAGAUUUUUAAAAUGAUAUAUAAAUCAUAAAAACAAAUAUUCACACUAACACUUAGUGCCAAUUUGCCUAUAUAAACAUAAAGCAACCUAAAAAAAAAAAGUUGCCCAACCAGCAGGCAACACAAUCAUAACACCCAUAACCAAAAAAAAAUAAAAAUAAAAAUCUAUUAAUCAGUACAAUCUAGCCAGCAGAAUCAACUCUAAGCAACUACAACACAUCGAAAAGGCACAAAGCAUUCAAUGCAGAAAAGACUGGGUAUAAAAGGACACUGUCAAAGAGCUACUGCUCAAAAUCUGACAUUUCAUCACUGAUAUAUGAGAGUGAUAUGGUAGGAAGAAAACUCAAGCUUAUAAACAUAUUAGUUUAACUGUGUUUUUAAUUUGUUUGCAAUUAUAUUGAAAAGCAACCAAUGAUAAUUACUUAUUAACCCUUAAUUAGCAGUUUAGAGUCACCCUACAAAGAUGCUUUGACACUUUUUAAGGUUGAUAGAAAAUUAUUAGUGUACCUAUUUCAUGACCUGCCAUCGCCUAAAAGGAAGUCACCUAAUAAAGCACCAAUUUAAAACCAUAUUUUUGCUACUCCUAUUCUCCCAGCAAUAAAUGCCUUAAUUACUUAAAUGUAUGCAAAGACUACUAUCUUUACAGUUGGUUAAAUCUUGCUGGCAUAAGGACCAACCCCUAACCUUAAAUGGGAUUUUAGGCUGCAAAAAAAAUAGGUUGGGUUUCUUACAAAAAUAACCUCAACUUGACUUAAAAAAAUUCGAAGGCAAAAAUUAUUUUGAUAGUGUAGUGUAAAAAAUAGGCUUAUUUAGCAUUUAGUAGUGUUCUCUAAAAAACAUAACAUUGUAUUAAUUAAACUAAGGAAAACAGUAUUCUCACUUAUAAUUGGUUUGUCAGUAUGACUAUUCCCAGAGUAUUUUCUUUUGCUCCUAUUUUUAUACAUAUAAACACAAUAAUCAAUCUCAGUAUUCAAACUAACAACUUUUUUUUUUUAAAAAAAUCCAUUAUUCUAGGACUUCAACUGUGCUUCUUUGGACAAAUAGUUAUUCAAGCAAGAAAGAAUUUAAAGUCUUUUAAACUAUUUAAUACCUACUAAAAAUCUUUGGUGCAUUUAAGUCAAAACCCAUUAGAUUAACACAUUUUCAGUUUGUAUAAUUUAAUGCCCAGACCUAUGUUUGCCUUUCU
rnacentral:lncRNA from 1 species